rnacentral:sRNA from 1 species
UCCGAUUGUUUUGCUCAGGCGUUUCCUCCCUAGACUUGGGCCGCUUGUCACGAACAAGCGGCCUUCCUUUAUGGCCCG